GGCGGUGCGGUUUGUCCAAGGCAAGCCUAAAGCGCAAGCGCAAAGCCCCAUCAGUCCGCGACCAAAGCCGCAUCCGAGGCUUUUGCAGCCGGCGCUGAGACGCUCCCGAGCCGUAGCGAGCUGGUUCCCGGGCCGGCGAGACUCUCCUCUGCCUCCAGGGCAGGCGCAGUUAGAGAGGGGGCAUCUCCAGCAGACCAACACCUUGAAAGGACCUUGCAGGGCUCCCGGGCUCCGUUUCCCCCUCCACUCGUGGUUAGCAGGUACCGGCGCCGCCUGCUUCUCCACGGAGCGCACAUGGAGCCCGCGGCAUCUGCUUCCCCGGCAGCACCAGCGGCAGCAGCGGGGGCUCCUCAUCUCCCAGCAGAUCCAGCUGCCCAGACUGGGGCAGAAGCUGUUCCCAGAGAGCAAGGACUCUCCCCACCGCUCAUCACAAUGAUUUCCUUGGGCCAUCCACUGUGGCUCUGCC